GUGCUGGCUUCAGCAGCACAUAUACUAAAAUUGGAAUGAUACAGUGAAGAUUAGCAUGGCCCCUGCACGAGGAUGACUUGCAAAUUCAUGAAGCAUUCCAUAUUUUU
rnacentral:snRNA from 1 species